rnacentral:rRNA from 1 species
UUGCUCUUCAACGAGGAAUGCCUAGUAAGCGCAUGUCAUCAGCAUGCGUUGAUUACGUCCCUGCCCUUUGUACACACCGCCCGUCGCUACUACCGAUUGAAUGGCUCAGUGAGGCCUUCGGACUGGCUCGGAGAGGUUGGCAACGACCACUCCGAGCCGGAAAGUUCGUCAAACUCGGUCAUUUAGAGGAAGUAAAAGUCGUAACAAGGUUUCCGUAGGUGAACCUGCGGAAGGAUCAUUACCUAGAGUUGUAGGCUUUGCCUGCUAUCUCUUACCCAUGUCUUUUGAGUACUUACGUUUCCUCGGCGGGUCCGCCCGCCGAUUGGACAAUUUAAACCAUUUGCAGUUGCAAUCAGCGUCUGAAAAACUUUAAUAGUUACAACUUUCAACAACGGAUCUCUUGGUUCUGGCAUCGAUGAAGAACGCAGCGAAAUGCGAUAAGUAGUGUGAAUUGCAGAAUUCAGUGAAUCAUCGAAUCUUUGAACGCACAUUGCGCCCCUUGGUAUCCCAUGGGGCAUGCCUGUUCGAGCGUCAUUUGUACCUUCAAGCUUUGCUUGGUGUUGGGUGUUUGUCUCGCCUCUGCGUGUAGACUCGCCUUAAAACAAUUGGCAGCCGGCGUAUUGAUUUCGGAGCGCAGUACAUCUCGCGCUUUGCACUCAUAACGACGACGUCCAAAAGUACAUUUUUACACUCUUGACCUCGGAUCAGGUAGGGAUACCCGCUGAACUUAAGCAUAUCAAUAAGCGGAGGA